rnacentral:rRNA from 1 species
UACGUAGGGUGCGAGCGUUAAUCGGAAUUACUGGGCGUAAAGCGUGCGCAGGCGGUUCGACAAGUCUGAUGUGAAAGCCCCGGGCUCAACCUGGGAAUGGCAUUGGAAACUAGCGGGCUAGAGUUUGGCAGAGGGGGGUGGAAUUCCUGGUGUAGCAGUGAAAUGCGUAGAGAUCAGGAGGAACACCGAUGGCGAAGGCAGCCCCCUGGGCUACAACUGACGCUCAGGCACGAAAGCGUGGGGAGCAAACAGG